rnacentral:rRNA from 1 species
CUACCGGGGUAUCUAAUCCUGUUUGCUCCCCAUGCUUUCGUACCUCAGCGUCAGUAUUAGGCCAGAUGGCUGCCUUCGCCAUCGGUAUUCCUCCAGAUCUCUACGCAUUUCACCGCUACACCUGGAAUUCUACCAUCCUCUCCCAUACUCUAGCUUCCCAGUAUCGAAUGCAAUUCCUAAGUUAAGCUCAGGGAUUUCACAUCCGACUUAAAAAGCCGCCUACGCACGCUUUACGCCCAGUAAAUCCGAUUAACGCUCGCACCCUCUGUAUUACCGCGGCUGCUGGCAC